rnacentral:lncRNA from 1 species
GUUCUGUGGAGGAGGAGGUGCCACUAUAGAGUCACAGGGGGAUCCUGACAUUCAAAAAUCAGGAUAAAAAUGAAGUUCCAUCUCAGGAUAGUCAGAAUGGGAAUGUAUUGGCCUCUGGACUCAUUUCUUCACAAAUGAGUACAGUAAUGCUAAACCUUUAUUUUAUUUUAUUUUAUUCAUUUGAUGCCAAGUUAAGGCUGGCAAGACUGGACCAGUUGUGUGUCAAUCGAAGGCUGCACUUAAGAAUCCACCGUGAAGACAAGUCCUACCAGUGAUUGACAGCCCCCAGGGUGAAAAUGACAAUGCACAAAGUCCUUCAAGCUCAAGAACCACAGAUGAGCCUCUGUGGCUGCCUGAAAGGAGGAGAAUGUUCAAACACUGUCACUAUUGUGUCUCACAUCCUCGCGAAACAAGCAGAACAAAUCAGGAAGGUUCUGGACUUCCAACUGGGUGCCAAUCCUUGUACCUGCAACUCUGGAAAUGCCAUCCCACCUUUGACCUCUCAAAAAACUUUGGAAACUUAUAAAUCAG